ACAGAUAUGCAUUUAUCUCAGUGAGCAGAGGGGUUGGGAAAGUCCAGAAAUAAAAAUAUCAGAUAAAUAACUAAGAUAAUUAUGGAUUAUGAUAAAUGAGAUGAAGAAAUUGAAUAACUGGUUGAGAUUGAUGAAAUGGGAAUGGUUCUUUUGUCUUCACUUUAAUUUAUUAAUAUUUCUUUCUUGAUGCCUUAAUGGUUCAUAUUAGAGAUUUGAAAUAAAUUUUACAAUAUUUGUAUUUAUUGAACAAAGAUUUUGCUUUUAACCAGUUCUAAAUGUAGAGAUUGAGAAAAUUUAACCUGCCAUAUCUUUCUUUUAAAAGGCUUUCCAAUUCUGGAUUUCCCCUGUUGACUUAUUCAAGUAAGCCUUAAUAAUUUAAAAAAAAAACCAAAACAAGCAAUGUCCCAAAGGUCCAUAUAUGCCAGUAAAACUAAAAUAUUCGUUUAUUAAAGUGUCAUCUCUUCACUUAGUAAGACAUUGGAUCUUUUCUUUGUAUUUUCACUGGGAAACUAG
rnacentral:lncRNA from 1 species